CACAUCGCCGUUACCCUCCCGCUCCUCUUCCUCCUCAGCAUCAACGGCGGGGGUGCUGGGAGGGGGAGGGGCAGAUGGGCCCUUCUUCGAGCCGUACAACCAUCGCAGAGCAGAGCAGGAAGCUCGUCUCCGAGUUAAAUGCAUCUGGUCAUGGAUAUGAUUCAGAGCAUCAGAUUCACAAGCAUGAUGGAUGGAGGGAUCUGUCAAAUGGUGCGGCUCCUUGUGCUACAACGACAGUGACAUGCCGGCCUCCCACACGCACAUAGCAUGCACUGAUUGACACCUCAGUAAUCAAAUGCAGGGGAGUAGCUAGCUUUGCUUGUAUGUGUGUGUACUAAGAUGAGGCAGUUAUCAAAUUAAGUGUCUUCUGAAAGCAACAAAUAUGAUGAUGAUACAGUACAAACUUGUAAGUCACAUCAAACUCUGCUUCUGCAAAAAAGAAAAACAACUCUACCUCUGUUUCGGAGAAAUAAAAGUGAAGGAGAAAGAUUGUGUGUGUGUGGAUGAAAAUCAAGCAAAGACAAAUGAUGUCCAGGCCACUUUAGUGUUCACCACUUGAUCCUCUCCACCUAAUUUGCCUUGCAGAUUAACAGAUGUGGUGGAGUAUAUCUUCUGGAAUGGGUAUGAACCGUCCAAAGUUCAGGUUCUUCGUUGCCUUCUUCAGGUGGAGUGAAAUUGAGAUCUGGGACUACCAUGCUUGAAAUUGGGCCAACGAGUUGUUGCUGUUGAUGUUGAGGAUCUGCUUCUUCCUUGUUGUUGAAGAUCUGCUGAUGUUGUUGGUGAGGAGCUGGACCAUCAAAGGUGCUGGACGAGGAGCUGGGCCGGCUUUUGGCGAGAAGCCAACAAGGAUCACCGAGCCUGGAGGUUGUGGAAUACGCAGAUCCUGGGCAAGGAGCAGCGAGGUGUUGGGCGAGGAGUUAUGCCGGCUUCCGAGCUCAACUUCUCCUGGCCUUCUCCCCUGGCUCCCCUGGCUCAGGGCUAGCUGCACCUUGCCGACGACGCGGGGAAGAAGGGAGGCAGUGCUGGCGAGGUGCGCUGGGGCUGGUGUCCGGCGGCCGGCGAGGUGUGGUCCUGGGGCCGGCGGUGACCAGGAAUCUGGGUGGCGAUGAGGACGAGAUCCUGGGCGGCGAUGAGCGGGAGAUCCUGGGCGGAGAAGUUGGGCGCCAGGUGAGCAGCGAAGAGAUCUUGGGCGUGAGGUGGGCAGCGACGUGCUGGGCGAGGAGAAGCCGGGUGCGAGGUGGGCGACGACGCACUGGGCGAGGAGAAGCCGGGCGCGAGGUGGGCAACGAUGCGCUGGGCGAGGCGAUUCCGAUAUUUUUUGAAUUUCAAUUGAUCGAUUGGAAGGGGUAUUGUUGUCCAUUACCCUUUUUUGGGGCUGUCGGAAAUUUUCUUCCGCGCCUUACAAAAGUGAAUGGAGGGAGUAUUAU